rnacentral:tRNA from 1 species
GUCCCCGUGGUGUAACGGAAAUCACACGCCCCUUACGAAGGCCGAGAUGUGGGUUCGACUCCCGCCGGGGACGCCA